CUAGUGGUUAGAGUGGAGGGGCGGCAGGUAGCCUAGUGGUUAGAGUGUAGGGCGGCAGGUAGCCUAGUGGUUAGAGUGUAGGGGCGGCAGGUAGCCUAGUGGUUAGAGUGUAGGGGCGGCAGGUAGCCUAGUGGUUAGAGUGUAGGGGCGGCAGGUAGCCUAGUGGUUAGAGUGGAGGGGCGGCAGGUAGCCUAGUGGUUAGAGUGUAGGGGCGGCAGGUAGCCUAGUGGUUAGAGUGUAGGGGCGGCAGGUAGCCUAGUGGUUAGAGUGUAGGGCGGCAGGUAGUCUAGUGGUUA